ACAUCACCCAGCCCUGCAGUGAUUCUUUUGAAACCUUCGAGGAGGCAACGAGGAUCCAGACAAGGCCCCCAAAUAUCUGCAAACAAAAGUGAGAGAAAGACACAAGUGCAAGAUUUUGUCCAGAUAUACAGAAAACUUCAAAUACAAUAGAUGCUAAGAAUUAAACCCAACCUCUCAGAAUACAGAUGAGAGGUCAACACCCAGAUGUAGUCAUCUGAGCUGCGGGCAGAACCUUCUGCAGCAGCUGUAGGACCAUUCAAAAUGCUUCUCCCCCACACCCUGCAGUUGCACUGUAGGCAACCUUGGAUUCUGGGAUUGAGAACUCUUCACUUCUCCUGAAUGCUAUGAUUUAAGGAGCCACCUCCUUUGUACACAGUGGAAAAAAUACACCUGCACAACCCAGAACCCUCUACCCCACUGACAGAGGACCCAGUUCUACUGCAUUCCUCUUUCCCUGGGUGGUGCCAAGCCUUUAGGACGUAUGUUUCCAGACCUCCCCAAGCCAUGAGAUGGGCUAUUUCCUUAUGGCUCAUUAAACAAGCUGCAUGCCAAAUCCCCUGCAGUCAGGAAUUAUAAGCAAACAGCUCAAGGUACAGCCAGUGCCAUAAACACGCCUCGGUGGGCAUCAAGCUCAGCACCAGAACAGCCUCGCCACUGUCAGCAUAGCCAGAACCUCCACAGGACUUUGUGUACUCCAUGCAGCUGCAGGAAACCCGGACCUUGUUCUCAGAGAGGGACCGAGUCUUCAGAGCACACUAGGUGGCCAGAGGGAAAGCCUUUCUCUGCACGGUAAUGCCUGCUUUAGCCCAAUUCCUUUUUGCUUGCCUGAUAUCCCUAGGAGAAAAUCAGUGCUCUAAGUCCCAGGGAUGUGAACUGGGUAGAACUUUGGUUCCAGAUGGCAAAAUUGAAUUUAGGGUGUGAAAUCAUGAGCUCUGUCCUACGGUAUGCAGCCAAACCACUCAGUGCUGAAUGAAAGUGUUCAGACAUAGGAGAAAGCCUCUUGAACUGAUGUGAGAAGAGCAAAUUUCAUCAGCAGAGGACACAGGAAAAGGUUUCUCCUUGAAACUUUCAGUCAGUGCUCACAGCAACAGCAUUUAAUUACCUAUGCCAAAUCCUUUAAUAUACUGAUCUCCUUCCACUCAGUGAGAACAGAAGAAGGAGCAAGGUGCUCACUCACCCUUCACUCAGCCCCAUGCCCAGCUCCAAUGCUUCACCUCCAGCCCAGGAAAACUGUAGCUUCAGCAGCUGAAGCUUUUUGCUGAUGCAGUUAUCUCCCUGCUUUAAGAAAGCAUUUUAUCCUUUGUGUGCAUCUGUUGCUAAAAAUCACCUACCAGUUGGGUCAAUUUGACUAUCUACCUUAAAACCACCAGCAACCCCUGCAAAUCUGCUAAGCAACAAAUUACGGAAGGUUUUUAAAGGUGCCAUGACCACCCCCCACAGACUGAAGGGAGCUACAGAGCCCCCAGUUAGGGCUUGUGACUUUCUUUAAGGGAGAGCUGGGGGCUGCCCCCAGAUGCUUGCAGCUCAGGGCCCUGUCUGGGCCCCUGGACCACAUGCUGUCUGCUGAGAGUCAUCCCUUGGACACCCACAGCACCAAGUGUGCUGGGGGACCCGUGAGCAGCAUCUGCCCUUCCCAGGGAAAAUCUGGCACUCACCAUUUCGGGGAUGAAGAGAACAUCUGGAAAAGUUGUAAAGACGGACAGGCCGCUGGGUAAAGAGCUCCUGGAAGUUGCUGAGGACAUUGUGAAGCUCUCCCGCAUUGAUGGUUGGUCUCUCUGGAGGCAGCUGCCAAAUACAGCCUCCUUCCCUCCCUCUCUCUCUUCCUCCUUCCCUCCCCUCCUUCUUGCUCUUCCCUCCCUCCUUCUCAGUGGCAGGCAAAGACAGCUUCGAGAGCCACAGAUGUGGCCAGAGCCUGUGAUCAGGUAUAGCUCUGUGACUGGUCGUGGCCUGCAGGAGGUUUUCAAGAGCUGUGGGCAGCCCUGGGGCGUUUCAGUCACAAGCAGGGACACACCAUGCAGGGCAAGUCCUUGGGCGGUGGUGGGUGGCACUGGUUUACAUCCAAGGCCAACAAGGGUGAUCUGUGCUGAGCCUGCUUGCAGCAUCUCUCAUUCCCUCUGUUUGCACAGCACUUCAGCUUGUCCUCCACCCUCAUGAGCUGGCGACAGAAAGCACAGUGGCAGGUGGCAGAGCAAACCAAGGCAUACCAGCUACCAGCUCAGGGCUGGGAGAUAUCCCAUGGAGGGGUCGUGCAUCCUGGGAUGGUCAGGGGUAGUUGUAAGGCCACCAUCUUUGUUGUCUCAGGUCAACGUAAUGAAAACUAAAACAAUGAGAUUUACCAAAACAUUUGGCUUCGUCUGUUCUACUUUUUUAGCCUGGAGUUCAUGGGAGUGAGUCAUUUCCCCUUCCCUUUAUAUGGAGCAUUAACUUCUUAUUACCAUGCUCAAGUCAUGCCCAGCAAAAUCACAGCAUUGGAGACAUUAAACAUCAAUAAAUGGAAAGGAACAGUGUGGUCAUUGUGGCCAUCCAUUGCCAGAAACCAGCAACCCAUAAAAGAAAUGCCUGUCAGCUUGUGAAUGCUGCUCAUACUGUGGCAGCUGCUCCCAGCCACAGGUCUUUGGUGUGGGCUCUAGAGCAGGAGGUAGGACUGGUUGCCUCUGAGAACAUGCUGUUGGAUCCCCAUGCAGCCCCACCAGCCUCCUUGCAGUGGCAGUGAGGGACACAUUCAGUUGUCCACAUUUUGUUUCUUGUGACAGCAGCAGUAGCUGCUCUCUAGACCUUGGACAGGACAGGUAUCCUGAGCAGCCCUCAGCAUGGUGGUGAGGCUGCAGGAGGUGUAAUUGUGGUGUCUGUGAGUUGGUUGCAGAUCUUUUGAAUCAUAGAAUGAUCUAGGAUGAAAGAGCCUUCACGAUCAUCAAGUGCAGUUGUCACCUUGACUUACUUAGUCCCAUCAUCAAACCAUGUCCCUAAGGGCUUCAUCCAUACGUCUCCUAAUACCUCCAGGGACACCACUUCCCUUGGCAGCCUUUUCCAGUUCUCCAUGUAGAAAUUCUUCCUGAUAUCCAAUCUAUAGCCUUCCUGACACAACUUGAGGCUAUUGCCUCACGUCUUUUCACUUGUCACCUGUGAAAAGAGGCUGACAUUAUCCACACUGCAACAUUCUUUCAGGAAUUUAAAGGGAGUGAUGGGAUGUCGUCCAGACUCAGCAACAGUUGAGCAGUUUGCUCAGCCACUCCUCAAGUUCCUUGUCUUGCAGACCCUACACCAGCUAUGUUGCUCUUGUGUUUACAACUUGGGCAAUUCGAUACUCCAAUUGCUUUUGUAGCAGGUUGCCGGUCAGGUGGGAAUGGAGAGAGCUCCGCAGGGAUGCAGUAAAUGCCUGUCCUGAACUACAAGACACAGAUUUGGGGUGAUGAGUACAAAAAGUGCUGCCUGAUGGCCAGGGGUCACCCCUGUGUUCCAGUUUGUGCCUCUGGCUUCUUAUCCUUGCACUGAGCACCGCUGAAAAGAGCCUGGCUCUGCCUGCACCCUUCCUUCAGGUAUUUAUAGACAUAAAUGAAUGUACAAUGCUGGCCCCAGCACGCACCCAGGGGUGAGACUGCGGAACUGCCCUCAAAACACAACUUGAACCCAGGGCAGCUUAGUGGGAAGAGCUGGACCAGUCCAGCCACCUGCCAAGGAGGAGCCUUAAAGGUCUGAAAAAAGCUGCAUUCCCCUGGGGAUUCCUGAAGAACAAGGAAGAAGCUGACAUGACAACAGCAAAAAAUCUGUGUUUCAACCAGCAGAGCCUUAGCAGGGAGGAGUGCAGGGCUUGGCACAUGGGUGGUGGCCAGGCUCAGAGCUAGUGGGAAUGGGUGUCAGCUGCUCCUUUGACCUGAGUCUUCCAUGGCUGAGGGAAAAGCCCAAGGACUAUGCAUGGGGCUGCUGUGUCUGGAGGGAGCAGCUGCCCUGGGCACUACAUGGAGCUUUUCUUGAAGCUGAGUCCUAGUGCUCCACUUUAACAGUGUACUCAAAGGGAGUACUGGACAGCUUUCUGAGUGCUCACUACUUAAGGACACAGAGAGAGAUAGGAUAUUAGGUAACAGAGGAACGGUAUUAAGUCUGGAAACAUAAGUGGACAAAUCUACGCUUACCAAAAUAUUCCUUUCUGGAAUGGCAGGCAAGACCACUUGGCUUCCCUGGCUGUUGGAAAGCACCAAUGAAACCCACUUGAAAAGAGUUCUGACACUAAAGACAUGACAAUCUCUUACUGUGUAUUAUCACACACCAAUGUCCUCAGGAAAUCUCUCUCUUUUUCUGUGUUUUCAAACUGAGCAAAUCUAAAGCUGAAUAGCUGAAAGGAGAUUUUCCAUGUUGUAGAAUCAAUGACACAAAAUCUGCAGAAGAUCUCAAGUGAAGUAGCCUGAAGGAAAUGAAACUGUCUUCAGAUGACUACCUAAAAAGACCCAAAAAACCCCAACAAAAAACUACAAGGCUGAUGGUAUGCAUGGGUGUGAAAAUAGUUAUGUCUUCUUGAAGGUAUUGUUGCCACCCACUCAAGAAUGACAUCAAGUCACAGUGACUUUCCAGUCUCCCACUGCUACAGCCAGCUUUGCUGCGCUCUAACUAUUGCACAACCAGCCGCUCUGUGAGACUGUGCAGUUAAUGUUCCAGCAGUUGCUUUUGCUUUAUUUACACAGAGCUAAUCCAUGUAGAGCUUGGCGUUUUAAGAAAGAACUAGAUAUGAGAUUAUCACUCAGAAAUUACCAGCUUCUUUCUCUGUCAACAGAGCCUUGACUGAGGCUGCCCACACAGCUAUAGGUGGGGUUAGGUGGGGUUAAAUGGGGCUAGCUGGUGUUGCAGAUUGAGCCCUUGGCUUUCAACCUCAUGUUCCCUUACUUGACCUCUGGUAAAAUCUGCUGAAUGUAGAGGCAGUGCUGCUGCAAAGUUCUCCUUAGCUGGGCAUUCCAUAGCAUGACCAAAAGCAGAAGAAACCUCAUUGUACUUUGAUACCUUCCUCCAAUAAUGAUUAGAUAAAUUCAUGGGCCAGUCCAACCGCAGGCAUACAAGAAGAGGUUUAGAGCAGUCCCAUUAAGGUUUCCCCCAGACCUCCUGCAGAAUAGGGUGCUAGGGUUAGUGUUUCAUUUGUUCGGCAGUCAGGUAGUCCACAAGCAAAACUUUUGUGUCACAAAUAGCGGAGUGAAAGAUCAUGUAAACCCACAAGAUGGCAGGAGAUACUCAGGAAUUUACCAUCAGCUAGAAGGGCUUCUAGGCUUUUGUAUUUCUCCUUUGACAUGCCAUUGAUUUGGGAGAAGUUAAAUGAAACCAUGUUUUUAAAUAAAAUAGAAGAAGCCUGGUAAAGGUAUGUCAGCAAGUGUUCAUGGAUCUCUUAGGAGCAGUGGGAUGCUAAGCCUGGCAGGACUAACAGACCCAUGUGAGUUAUAAUUAAUGUGGAAACAAGAAGCAUACAACUAAGUUAUCCUGUGACGGCAGGGUAACCAUUUAUAGGUCAAAACUCCCCGCUUUGAUGGCCAAAGGAUCCCCAGCCCUAACCUGCCACAGUCACCUGCAUUUCAGCCUGGAUGAAGCUUGCUGCCUGUAGAGGUGCCAACCAGGCAGUGUGACAGGGCCAUCAGUCCUUCCAUUCUGAAGUAGACAACAGUUUCUCAUUAUGCAGUCCUGCAGUGUGUCUGCAAGAUGUAAUGUUAAAAAGAAAAUCUUUACGCUCAAAAGGUUUUAGCUGCUUGCCAUUAAGUCUGCAUGGUCCAAAUCUAUGAACAUGACCGAGAGGCCCCACAGCACAUUUUUUAUUUCUGCUCUGUCAAGACUUCCCUUUCAAGUUAUCUCUUCCAAGUUUUUUGUAGGGCUGAAGCCCCUCGCAGGCACUAGAUGCUACUUUAUACAUUGCUUCAAUCUCCUAACUUAAAGUACAUUUUAAAAAUAUGAACACUACAAUAAUGACUUCUUUUUUUUUUUUUUUUUUUUUUUUUUUUCCUGUGCUGCAUCUGGAACAUAGGCAUGUAUUUAUUCUGAUCUCCUCUGUGCUACUUCAGUGGAUAUAUUUUUGUAUCUGAUUUGUACUGAGUAGGAUUAAUUUUUAUCCUUAGACUUUCCAGAGACAGAUAAUAGUAUGGUGCUGAGCGUCUUUGAUUAACUCAUUCCACAUAGGACUGAGUGCAUUAUUUGAUGAAUACUGUCUGUCCCCAUGUGGCCAGAAACCAGAGCACAUUCAGCCUUCAGAUUUCUAUAGUUCACUUGCCUUGAUUAAGAAGGAACAGCUCAUUUUGCUGAAAGAGGAAGUUAUCACAUAGCAUACCAGUCCCUAGAAAGCCUUAGAUUUAAUUAACAUGGAAAUAAUUUUCAUAUUCAAAAGUCAGAUCUUCAAAUAUCCUGAAAACCAGUUACACUCACAUCUGAACUCUGAGUUGUGUUAUCAACCAUUUUCAAGAGAACUCUGGAUCCAGGACUGAAAUUCAAGUAACUUCAAUGCCUGAAUCACUAUAAAGGGACAAGCAAAGUCAAAACUAAAGGUUCUGUUUCACAGAUCCUCAUUCAGAGUGGAAAACCCACAAAGUUUGAUUUACACAUCCUGGCCUCUAGUUCUCUUGUCCUCUGUCACUCAAAGACUCAUCACCUCCCACAGAUAUGUAAGCAUACAGGCCUCCGGGGCCACCUUUGUGCCUGAAUGCCUCUGGGACUCAGCCUGAAGGCUGCUGGGCAUGUGUGUCUCUAGGUUGGCCUCUUGGCCUUCCUCUCACCUGCAUGCCACCUUCCAGGCCAUUCAUUCUCUUGGACUCUAGGCCUCCCUCUGGAUCUCGAGUCUCCUAGGCUAGUCUCUAAGUCUGUAGGCCUUCAGGCAUCCUUUUGGGCCUCAGGACGUCUGGGCCGAUGUGUUAGCCCUUUGGCUGCUCGCAGUCUAGCUCAGGUGGCAUCCUACCCUCACAGACGACCGGCAUCGAGGCCUCCCUGUAGGCCACAAGGCUUGUAAGCCUCCCUCAGGCCUCCUGAUGUCCAGUCUUCCCUUUUGGGCCUCAAAGCCUCCAGGCAUCCCCCUUGACCUCUUGAUCUCUAGGUCUCCCUCUAGGCCUCAAGGCCUUCUGGGCCCACAGCCAGCCUCUGGGCCUGUAGAUGUCUUUGCCCCCAGACAUUUGUCUUGGCCAAUAACUCUCUUGCCCUCCAAGCCUGCCUUUUAAUUGAAAAAAAUGAUUUCAAGGUCUCUAGCCGUCUUGGCCAGCUUCUCGUUUUCCCUCUUGGUCUCUUGGCCCCUACGCCUCAAGGCCUCUAGGCCAGCCUCUAGUUCAGUCAUGUCCAACCCACAGCCAUGCUUUCUAUUUUAAUAAGGAAUGCAGGUUUUAAGAUUGCUGAAAAGUUGAUCAAUUUUUUGGUGUAUUCAUGACUCCAUUUUCAGUUGACAUAAAUACAUUACCUGUGAAUUUUCAAAUGCAAUGUACAGAGUUGCAAGCCAAUACUCAACUCAGAUUUUCAUGUCUAUCUACCAGACCUCUGUUGGUCAGACCUCUUCCUCUUGCCAGAGAGAAAUACCCAUCCCUUCACAGUCACACCUUAUCCAUGCCAUCGCUUUAUGGCAGUACAUAUAUCUGUGAACAAUGGACAAAGCACAGGAGGAGUAAAACUUCCAUCAAAAAUCUCUGACAAACACCAAUGAGCUCACUAUGAAUUGCAACCAUUGCCAUCAAACCUGACUGAUGUGUUAAUGUCACAAAAACAAGGUCAAACAUCCUACUGGUUCUAUGGUUUUAUUACCUUUUUUUCAAUGUUUUAAUUAAAAAAAAAAAACAAAAAAAA